UGCAUACACGUCCCUGCUUUUCAAAAUGUGUCGAUAUUUUUGGACUAUAGGAGACAGAAAAAUAACUCAGCCAAAACUGUAAAGAACACUCACAGCAACACAACGGGAGUCUCUAAUCCUGCCUGCUGUGACUCUUCCGUGGACUGUUGCGCUGGUCAGAUAGAUGCGACAGAUCACAAAAAUGAGGAUGAUGGAGUCCAGUACACCAGCGUCCAGUUUAAGCCCAAAAACCAGCAGGAGGUGCCCAGCCAGGACGAGGGCGUCCAGUACGCCAGCGUCCAGUUCAGCAAAUCCAAACCAGAGCCCAACGUUCCUGAGCCGCCUCCAACUGUCAUGCCACAGGAGGAGACCCAGUACGCCUCACUGAAUCUGCAGGGACUCAGUGCUGCCACCCAAACAACGGCUGAAUCUGUGAUCUACAGCGCUGUCAAUACAAAUACCAAACCGUAACAGCAAGACACCAUGGUUUGAAGAAGACUACGGCUUGAUUUUAGGAUUGUCUGAUGAAAAGUGGUGUUUGCAUUGAUGCGUGUAGUUUAGGACUGUGUUAGUAAUCAAAUUAACCAAUUAGCCGUGAUGAUAGAUGAUUGUUUACACUUAUGAAAACAACAUUAUCGAAGCUUUGUUGUUCCAUGAACGGCAUGACAUGAACGGCAAUACUAUAUUACUAAAAUACUAUAUUUUGUGUUCCUGUUAUUCCACAAAUAUGGUUACUGCGCAUUGAUAGGAUAAGAUAGAGACAUGCACAUUGAGAUGGUAGUAAGUAACGUGACUGAGUUGAGUUUGAGUAAAGAGAGCAGCAAGCUCAC